GCAUGGGUGGCUCAGCCGGUGAAGCGUCCGACUUCGGCUCAGGUCAUGGUCUCACGGUUUGUGAGUUCGAGCCCCACCUCAGGCU
rnacentral:tRNA from 1 species